CACGUGGGUUCAGAGCUCAUCGCUGUCCUGUUCAGCUGUGGCUUCUUAGUCAAAUCACCUAAAACGCCAGGGCCGUCAGAGGAAUAGCAUGAGAGCAAAGAACUCCUGAAAUCUAAGCUCUGUACUUGCUCUGUAGUAAGCCCAGUCUUCCACGAUGCACGCGUGUCCGCAGCCCGAAGGUACCAGGAAGAAAUGUUAACAUCGCAGGAUGAGGCUGUCUGAUAACAAGAGAAAAUUGGGGUACAUUUAACAAGAAAGAAGAGGAAAAUUGCCAUUAGGUAGGCAACCAGCAGUAUCUGCCAAAGGCACCAGGACACCCAUUCUGAAUUGUGACCAAACUAGAGGAAAAAUGGACGUCAUUCCAAAGUCUUAUGCUUGAGCUUGAGGGCACCGUCUGAAGGAAUCUUGGUUUGUCUUCCCUCGAAGAGGAGGGGUACAAAGUGGAGGGAGACUCCCUGCUGAUGACAAAGCUCAAAGACAAAACAUAUCCAGUCAAGGCAAGGUGAUUGGCCCGUUUCCCGAGGCUGUUCAGGAGAGCCUGAGAGCAUCGGGGAUGUGUGUAACUCCCCUUGAAGAAAAGGUAAUACCCAGGCUCCCUUUGAAAGGUAAGCUGGACAUUGCAACAUAGAGGAUAAAGUCAAAGAAAUCUUUGGCAGAAGAAACAGUGAGUGCUGAAACAUGGAGAAGGGAGAAAUCACCGUCUGCAGAAAAGAAGUGGGCAGCUCAUUAUGGCUGAGCUGCAGGUACCUUGUGCAGAAGUGAUGGCAAAGGAAGCUGCAUAGGAAGAAUGAGCCCAGGAGGUGCCAUGCAUAUGAUAAAAAGCUUAGGUUGUAUCCUGGAAAGGAAGGAGAUGAUUGAAAUAUAUUAAGGGAGCAAAAACAUAACCAGAUAUAAAUUUUAGAAAAGCUGUUCUAUUUGUGGAGAACGGAGAGAAAUGUAUUCCUUGUCCAUUCUUGCCCAUCUCAGUAACUGGUAAAACCGGCCAUUCAGAUGUUCAAACCCCAAACCUAGGUGUCAUUCUUUACUUCUCAUUUGGGCUCACUCCCCGUAUCCAAAAUACAGACUAAAUCUGUUUUCUUCAUUUCAUUUUCCAUCACCAUCUUCUCUUACCUGGAUUGUCGUAAUAGUGUCCUAAUUCGCCUUUCUGAUUCAGGCUCUGGUCGUAUGCAAUCCAGUCUCCCAGGACAUCAAGAGUGAACUAAUCAAAAAUUAAAUUAUAUUUAAUAAUAUACCUCCCUGCUUAAAACUCUCCAGUACCAUCCUAAUGCUCCUAGAGUGAAAUCCAGACUCCUUUCAAUUGCUGAUAAAGCCACGUGAUCUGCUACCAGCCCCUCUUUCCAUCUCAGCUUCUAUGACACUUUCACCUUUUCUAUUCUCUGUUCAUGCUGGCUUACUCUCUAUUCCAGUUUUGUGCCUCUGUCUAUUUCUGGGAGACUCUCUACCCAGUUUCAGCUGGCUGGUUCCUUUUCAUCUUUCAAAACCCAGCUAAAUGCUACAAACUCAAAAUACCUUUCCUAAAAAAAGUACCCUCCCUUAAUACCCUCCAGUCAGUAAUAAAAUAAUUUCGUUUGUAGUACUCAAAACCAUCUGAAAUCAUCUAGUUUGUUUUCUUGGUUACUGUUUAUCUCUGGACGUUAGAAUGAAAGCCCCUUGACAGCAGAGAUUUUGUCCUUACCCUCAGUGCCUAGGAAGCACCAGGGUGAUUGUCGGUACUCAAUAAACAGGUAGUGAGUGAUUCAACUAAAAAGUGGAUGCAGCAAAAUCGACUUGGAGGGUUGUGAAACAAUCCAGGUGGAAGACACAAGGGUCUGAAUUACGACAGCAGAACUAAGGGUAGAGGGGAAGAAGGGGAUGGGAGAGAGAUUUGGUGGAUGAAACUGAUGAAGCUUUGUAAUCAGAUGUAUGUGGUGAGAAGAGAAAAGUGAGGAAAAUGAACGGGGCCCACUCAGCACAAGAAUGAGCCAGACAUAAAAUGCCCUAUGGGCUCUACCACUUUAAAGGUUUGGAGCAUUUCUGUUUCUAAAUGAAAGGAUAAACAGCAUGUGCUAUUGAAUGAAUGAAAGGAUCAUUCUAACAAAGGAGUUACUGAAUUCUUCAUGUUACCUAGGAGAACUUACAAAAUAUGUAUUAAAAUUGCACUGAAUGUUAGCUCUGUGUUGUAUAUUACAGGGGAUAUGGCACAACUAAAAGAUGCUGUCCUUGCCCUUUUUUACUUGAGAAUAUAAAAAGAAUCAUAAAACCAUCAGAGAGAAAUCCAAGGGUAGUAUAGAUCAUCAGUUUUGAAAAUGUGUGAUUCACCAGGACUUCAGGAAUCACAGAUCAGACCUAACAUCUUAAAUGAGCUUCUAGGGCAGAAAAUAUUCUGACUUCUCAGAUCCUUUCUCUGGCCAAGCAUGUUCUUACAUUAAGCAAGCUAUCUUUUGGAAUUCCACAAAGUAUUGGCAUUUUGAGAAUUAAUUUGGUAACAUUUAAAGAGGGAAGAGGAUGAUUCAUUUCAUUGGAUGGUAAGUGGGCUUAAUAUUUACAUAGAAGUGCCAGAGUGGCACAGACUUCUCCAAUGCUCUGUUGAUAACAUAGACCCAGUUUUGAACAGAACAGGUCAAGAAGAAGGAAUAGAUUGAAAUUGUUUUAGGAGGCAUUUCCUCAGAGGCUGUUUAUUCUCCUCUGUAAUAUCUUGCUUGGUUUCUCACUACUGUACCGAAAGCUCUCCCACAAUUUCAUCUCUUAAAAGACAGUUC